rnacentral:rRNA from 1 species
CCUGCCCAGCAGAACGACCCGCGGACGCGUUAUCGAACAACACCACGAGGGGGCGCGGACGCAUCCGUGCCCCUCGCCCCCUCGAUGCCUCGGAACGCUCGACCCUGCCUCGCCGYGCCUCCCGGGCAGGCGAGAUGCCGGGUCUCGUCGCUCCCGGCAGAACGAACAACCCCCGGCACGAAUCGUGCCAAGGAAUCGGAAUGAAAAAAGGGCACGUUCGCUCUCGCCGCUCCGUUCGCGGUGUCGUGCGGCAGCAACGCGGCUCCUUUGUCGUGAAAAUACAAAACGACUCUCGGCAACGGAUAUCUCGGCUCUCGCAUCGAUGAAGAACGUAGCGAAAUGCGAUACUUGGUGUGAAUUGCAGAAUCCCGUGAACCAUCGAGUCUUUGAACGCAAGUUGCGCCCNAAGCCAUUAGGCCGAGGGCACGUCUGCCUGGGUGUCACGCAUCGUCGCCCCCCCCAUCGGGCCCCUCGGGCUCCGAUCGAAGGGUGGCGGAAAUUGGCCUCCCGUGCGCUCCCCGCUCACGGUUGGCCCAAAAUAGAGUCCUCGAUGGCGAUAGCNCCGCGACGAUCGGUGGUAAUGCUCCGAGCUGCCUCGUGGGAAGUAGCGUGCGCUCGUCGUUUCGGACCCCCGGACCCCUUUCGCACCGCGAGAACGGUGCUCGCGUCGCGACCCCAGGUCAGGCGG